rnacentral:lncRNA from 1 species
CGGUGCGGCCCCUCGGCCUCGGCGGCAGCGGCUGCGGAGAAGGCGAGCGAAGGUAGGAGGCUGGGGGUGCGCGCGUGCGCGGGGGCUGGACCGACGCGCUCCGGGCGAAGGAGGCCGCUCGCCUGGGGGCGGGCUGGAGCCAUGUCCCGGGGCUAGGGGCGCUGUGGGCGCCGCGCCCGCCGCUGCCCGGCACCGGAAGCCAAGAGGGCGUUCCCGACGGGCUCCGCAGAUGCCCCUCCGCGUCCUGCCGCCCAUCCUGCCCGGAUUGUCGCGGGCCGGGGGCGCGACAGGAGGCCGAGGCCUGCCCGGGCGCAGAGGCCUGCCUGGGCGCAGCGGCCUGCAGGGCGCAGCCGUCCCUCCGCCGGUCGGGGUCCCCUCGCUCCGCGGGCGGCCGUGGGAGGCCCUCGCGACGGCCGCUACCCCUCGCAGAUGCCCUCUGCAGCUCCUGCGUGCGGGCCCCGCCCUGCACUGCCCUCCUAGUGUGGGACGCGGUUUCGUCUUCAUUGCAACCCUGCCGAGUCGGAAGCAUCUCCAUUGUGCGGAUGGGUAAACUGAGGCCCAGAGCGCGCGGUUGGGCUGGCCACGGAGGCAGGGCCGCCGGAUGCUGUGCGGGGAUGGGGCCCUGCACCCCUUGCGCCUCUCACCAUGGGGCCUCAGGCCCCUGUGCCCGGCAGCGUCUCUGGAGUGGGCAUUUUGAACGAGCUCCCUCCUGAUUUUCACACAGACUUAAGCCUGACGACCGUGCUGGGGCGGAUGUCUGCCCCUCUGGUGACCAGGUCACAGCUCCCUUGGGAAGACGAUUGACUGGGGAAUGGGGACCCUGGGGAGGGGGCCUUCAGGGUGCCAUCUGUCUGUUUACGCCAGAAAACAGAGAUUUCUGUUUUCUUUCGCUGGGCUCACAGCAGGUGCUUAAUAAACAGAUCUUGUGGCGGGAGCAGAGGACAGCGAGGUUCAGGCACGACUCCAGGAGUCAACCCCUGGAUCUCGGAGGCUCCCCACCCGCGCACAUUUCCCUGACUUAACCCUCCCCUCCCCAGUCUUUCAGCCCUAGGAGGGGAGGCCCCCUUUCCACCCAGGUGGCCCCUGUGGGGGUCACUCCCUGGUUUUCACCCUGAACUUCUGGGAUGCGGCAGAUGCUGGAUAUGUGUUCGCUGGUGUCCUUGGCUCUUAGCAUUCAUUAAUUCAUUCAGCAGCUCUUCAUGGAGCUUUGGCCUUAGCCCAUGCACUGUGGAAGUGGCAGUGAACUAAGCCAACCUGGCACUUUGGGAGGCUGAGGUGGGAGAACGGCUUGAGCCCAGGAGUUGGAGACUAGCCUGGGCAACAUCUCAUCUCUACAACAAGUAAAAAAUUAGCCAGGCAUGGUGGCAUGCACCUGUGGUCCCAGCUACUCAGGAGGCUGAGGUGGCCUCCCAAAGGCCCCCCCUCCUGGGCCUCCCUUAAGCCCAGGAGGUCAAGGCUGCAGUGAGCCAUGAUUUUGCCACUGCACUCCAGCCUGGACAACAGAGCAAGACCCUGUCUCAAAGAAAAAAAAAAGGAGGAGACAGACAACAUACAUGUUGGAGAAAACGGAACAGCCACUGGAGGGACCUCUUUAGCUGAGAGUCAGGGGUAGGUCCCUCAGAAGGUGAUACUUUUGAGCAAAAAUCUGGCCGACAAGCGGGGGAGUCAGCUGUGCAAAGGAAGAGGGAAGAGCGUCCCAGGCAGAGAAAGUGGCAGUGCAAAGGCCCAGAGGUGGGUGCAUGCCUGGUGUUUGAGGAAUCAAGAAGGCCAUGAGCAGCCGGGUGUGGUGGCUCACACCUGUAAUCCCAGCACUUUGGGAGGCCAAGGUGGGUGGAUCACUUGAGGUCAGGAGUUUAAGACCAGCCUGGCCAAUACAGUGAAACCUCAUCUCUACUAAAAAUGCAAAAAUUAGCUGGGCAUGGUGGUUCAUGCCUAUAAUCCCAGCUACUCGGGAGGCUGAGGUAGGAGAAUUGCUUGAACCCAGGAGGCAGAGGUUGCAGUGAGCAGAGAUCGUGCAUUACUGCACUCUAGCUCCAGCGUGGGCAACAGAGCAAGACUCUGCCUCAAAAAAAAAAAAAAAAGAAAAAAAAAAAGGAGAUGAGGUGGGAGAAGUGGAGUGGGACCAGAUCUGGUGGGCCCUGUGGGCCAUGGAAGGACUUUGAACUUCAUUUUAGGUGCGGUAAGGGCUAGUAGAGGGCCUUGGGUAGGGGAGGGAUAUGACCUUUACUGUGUGAAACUUGAGUGGGUGAGGGGAUGAGCAGGAAGCAUAGAGACCCUCGGGGAGCCAUCUCAGCAGUCCAGGCAGUGGCUUAUAUAAUACACAUCGGCGUCCUGGGGUGGUGCCAGGUACACAGCAGGCGCUGCAGGAUGGAAGUCAUUGCCGUUACUGGUUUUGUUUAUUUGAGACAGGGUCUUGCUCUAUCACCCAGGCUAGAGUGCAGUGACACAACCAUGGCUCAUUGCAGCCUCAACCUUCCAGGCUCAAGCAAUCCUCCUGCCUCAGCCUCUCAAGGAACUGGGACUACAGGAGGUGCAUGCCACCAUGCCAGGCCAAUUUUUUGUAUUUUUUUUUUGGUAGAGAUGGAUUCUCACUAUGUUGCCAGGGCUGGUCUCAAACUCCUGGGCUCAAGCAAUCCUCCUACCUCAGCCUCCCAAAGUGUUGGGACCACAGGUGUGAGUCACUGCACCCGGCUUGCUGUUAUUAUUUAAAACUCUGGGCUGGGCGCAGUGGCUCAUGCCUAUAAUCCCAGCACUUUGAGAGGCCGAGGCGGGUAGAUCACUUGAGGUCAGGAGUUUGAGACCAGCCUGGCCAACAUGGUGAAACCCUGUCUCUACUAAAAAUACAAAAAUUAGCUGGGCGCGGUGGCGCAUACCUGUAAUCCCAGCUACUCAGGAGGCUGAGGUAGGAGAAUUGCUUGAGCCCAGGAGGCGGAGGUUGCAGUGAGCCGAGAUUGUGCCAUUGCACUCCAGACUGGGUGACAGAGUGAGACUCCAUCUCAAAAACAAAACAAAACAAAACAAACAAACAAAAAACAAAAACCCUUUGGAAUCAGGCACACCUAGGUCGCG